rnacentral:rRNA from 1 species
UACGGGGGGAGCAAGCGUUGUUCGGAUUUACUGGGCGUAAAGGGCGCGUAGGCGGCCACCUCACUUCGGUUGUGAAAUCUCUGGGCUUAACCCAGAAAGGUCAACCGAUACUGCGGGGCUAGAGUGCAGAAGGGGCAACUGGAAUUCUCGGUGUAGCGGUGAAAUGCGUAGAUAUCGAGAGGAACACCUGCGGCGAAGGCGGGUUGCUGGGCUGACACUGACGCUGAAGCGCGAAAGCCAGGGGAGCGAACGGG